UUAUAAAGAACGACGCAAAAUAUUCUUUCGUAUUCAACAGCAUUCAAAGGAAAAAUUAUUUCAAUAUUGAGAGGAAUUUUCUGAAAUGAUACGAUUUUUUAUCUUCGCCGUCUUGGUAACAGUCGUGUGCAGUCAGUGUAAUGACUUCGCCACUCAAUACCAAUGUCUUAUGAGAAGUAACAGUGUGUUGUGGGCAUGUAAAAGCAGAUGUUACGGUUUCGGAUGUACCAGAACACAGUGUGAGCUGAGGUGCCAAGAAAACGCCUACAGACGUUUAACAUUCUGUAUUACAUUGGAAUAAAAACUAUUCAACUUGA